CCACUUGCAGGCGCUGGCCGGCUCGAUCUUUCGAGCUGGUUCAGCGUUUGCGCCGGCGAGGCGGACGUGGAUCACAGCACGCCCAGAGCCCAUCCUCGCCCAUUACUCCUGUGCCUACUCCUACUUGCCGUAGGGGUAGGCAUUUUCCUCCUACCCGCUCGGUAAGCGGGUA
rfam:Hepatitis C virus genotype 7, complete genome